rnacentral:rRNA from 1 species
AUGGCCCCACAAUGUGGACCUGGGUGGCCGCAAAGAGGGCCGGGGUUGCGGACGAGCUCAGCUGGGAUUCUUGGGGCGGCGGUGAACGGACAUACGUGGCGGAGGAGAAUGGCCUGGGGUGGUGGAGGUGAACGGCCUAGGGGUGGCGGUGAAUGGACAUCGUUGGCGGAGGUGAAUAGCUUGCGCUCUGAGGGUGUGGAGCGCGACACCGGAAAUGGGGUCGGGGCGCAGAGCAAGUCGCCGGCGCGGGCGCUUCUCCAGGAUUGGGGGCGUAGGGCUUUGGGUCGCCGAGGUUUGGGGCUGCCGAAGUUGGGGUGCUGGGCUUGGGGGCGCCUGGGUCAGGGUCGUCAGGGCUGGCUGGCGCCGGGGAUGGGGGGCACGGGCGCGUGGGUAGCAGGAUGUGGGAGGUUAGGUAAGGGGUUGGGGGCACGGGCCGCGGGGUUGCAGUGCACGAUGACGGGGCAGGGGGGCGGCGGCACACGGCGGCGGGGCAUGGGUGGUGGCGAGAGGCGACGGUGCGAGGGGUGGCGGUGGGCAGUGCUGCCGGCUGGCGUCAAGUUUGAUCCCACGGAUCAGGAGCUGAUCAAGAACCUUGAGGCCAAAGUGAGUGCUGACAGCGCGAGAUCUCACCCUCUCAUCGAUUUGUUCAUACCAACCAUCGACAGCAAGCAUAGCAUAUGCUACACCCAUCCCGAGAAACUUCCAGCUCAAUUACAGGGCAUUCAAAAGGGGCACAUGGACGCAUUCAAAAAGGUUCUGGUGUUGCAUACCAACAAGAACUUCGACCAGCAGAGGACUAGCUGGGUGAUGCACCAGUACCACCUCGGGGACCCGGAGCAAGAGAAGGAGCGGGAGCUGGUCCUCUACAAGAUGUUCUACUAG